UUUAUAAUAGUCAAGAAGCUAUGACUGUAGACUUAAAAUCUAUCAGCGGAAGUUAAAAUCUCCCUUAUAAUU
rnacentral:tRNA from 1 species